rnacentral:rRNA from 1 species
GACGAACGCUGGCGGCGUGCUUAACACAUGCAAGUCGAACGGAAAGGCCCUGCUUUUGUGGGGUGCUCGAGUGGCGAACGGGUGAGUAACACGUGAGUAACCUGCCCUUGACUUUGGGAUAACUUCAGGAAACUGGGGCGAAUACCGGAUAGGAGCUCCUGCUGCAUGGUGGGGGUUGGAAAGUUUCGGCGGUUGGGGAUGGACUCGCGGCUUAUCAGCUUGUUGGUGGGGUAGUGGCAUACCAAGGCUUUGACGGGUAGCCGGCCUGGGAGGGUGAACGGCCACAUUGGGCCUGAGAGACGGCGCAGUCGGCUACGGGAGGCAGCAGUGGGGAAUAUUGCACAAUGGGCGGAAGCCUGAUGCAGCAACGCCGCGUGCGGGAUGACGGCCUUCGGGGUGUAAACCGCUUUCGCCUGUGACGAAGCGUGAGUGACGGUAAUGGGUAAAGAAGCACCGGCUAACUACGUG